rnacentral:lncRNA from 1 species
GACAUAAUGAAAUAAAUAUGAGUAGUAGCCAUUUGCCCAUUCACUGAAAGAACCAUCUUAUCAUACUUAAUCUCUUAAAAGCUGCAGUCCUCACCUCCUCUUUAGAGUAUUCUCCAGUUUUGAAGCAAGCCUUGAAUAAAGGUAGGAAGCUGUUUUGUUAAGACACGGUUUGCAAGGCUUUUUGUAAUUUUGAAACACUGAUAAAUAAAAAAUGUGUUGCUUCAGUACCGAAUAGUAAU